rnacentral:rRNA from 1 species
UACGUAGGGGGCUAGCGUUGUCCGGAAUCAUUGGGCGUAAAGAGCGUGUAGGCGGCCCGGUAAGUCCGCUGUAAAAGUCAAAGGCUCAACCUUUGAAUGUCAGUGGAUACUGCCGGGCUAGAGGAUGGUAGAGGCGAGUGGAAUUCCCGGUGUAGCGGUGAAAUGCGCAGAUAUCGGGAGGAACACCAGUAGCGAAGGCGGCUCGCUGGGCCAUUCCUGACGCUGAGACGCGAAAGCUAGGGGAGCGAACAGG